rnacentral:sRNA from 1 species
UAGUUCACGCAGAGAUUUACGUGGUAAC